rnacentral:rRNA from 1 species
UACUAGAGCCAUAUCACCCUGAAGUCCACUGAAGUUAAGCAGGGCUGAGCCUGGUUAGUAACAGGAUGGGAGACCAAAUGGGAAAACUAGGUUGCUGUUGAAA